rnacentral:rRNA from 1 species
GACGUAGGUGGCGAACGUUAUCCGGAAUUACUGGGCGUAAAGGGCGCGUAGGCGGAUUAAUAAGUUAGGUGUGAAAUCCCUGGGCUUAACCUGGGAAUGGCAUUUAAUACUGUUAGUCUAGAGUAGAGUAGAGGGAAGUGGAAUUUCCGGUGUAGCGGUGAAAUGCGUAGAGAUCGGAAAGAACACCAGUGGCGAAGGCGGCUUCCUGGACUCAUACUGACGCUGAGGCGCGAAAGCGUGGGUAGCAAACAGG